rnacentral:lncRNA from 1 species
CAGAUGGGGGUUGGUUAGAUAGUGCGAUGGCUUGGAGUUGGGCCAAUGUUGGAGAUGGAAGAUCAAUGAUUUCAAGAUGGUCAGAGUCAUAGGAUAGGUCAUAGUAAGGUGGUGAUGAGGGAGUUGAAAAGGGGGUGAGAUGGGUUCAUUCAGAAGUAAUGCCUUAGAGAUGAGAAGUAUGGUGGUAGUAAGAUUAAAUAGUUGAAAGGGGGUGAGGAGAGGUUAGAGUUGUGAGAUUCAAAGGG